rnacentral:sRNA from 1 species
GUGCUAUACCCCUGAUUUGGGAUAAAAAAAUAGAGCCUGUCGACAUCCGCCAGACUCUACAGUACACACAGCAGUUUAUCCUUCAUCUAUGCCCGUUAUUUUUCCUGGUGGCGGGUAAUGUCUUAUAGCAAGAACCGUUUAACUAUGCCAGCAAACUGGAGUGAUUGAUUUCA